UGCAAGUCGAACGGUAACGCGGGGAGAAGCUUGCUUCUCCCCGGCGACGAGUGGCGAACGGGUGAGUAAUACAUCGGAACGUGUCCGCUCGUGGGGGACAACCAGCCGAAAGGUUGGCUAAUACCGCAUGAGUUCUACGGAGGAAAGAGGGGGACCCGCAAGGGCCUCUCGCGAGCGGAGCGGCCGAUGACUGAUUAGCCGGUUGGUGAGGUAACGGCUCACCAAAGCAACGAUCAGUAGCUGGUCUGAGAGGACGACCAGCCACACUGGGACUGAGACACGGCCCAGACUCCUACGGGAGGCAGCAGUGGGGAAUUUUGGACAAUGGGCGCAAGCCUGAUCCAGCUAUUCCGCGUGUGGGAUGAAGGCCCUCGGGUUGUAAACCACUUUUGUAGAGAACGAAAAGACACCUUCGAAUAAAGGGUGUUGCUGACGGUACUCUAAGAAUAAGCACCGGCUAACUACGUGCCAGCAGCCGCGGUAAUACGUAGGGUGCGAGCGUUAAUCGGAAUUACUGGGCGUAAAGGGUGCGCAGGCGGUUGAGUAAGACAGAUGUGAAAUCCCCGAGCUUAACUCGGGAAUGGCAUAUGUGACUGCUCGGCUAGAGUGUGUCAGAGGGAGGUGGAAUUCCACGUGUAGCAGUGAAAUGCGUAGAUAUGUGGAAGAACACCGAUGGCGAAGGCAGC
rnacentral:rRNA from 1 species